rnacentral:misc_RNA from 1 species
AUAGAAGUAACAAUUAUUUUAUUGUUAAUAUCGUACCAAAUACCCCCUUAGAGUAUAAGUAUAAAUGAGUCAUUGCUCAACUAAUUUACUUACAAACAACUCUCACUUUUGCACUAAUAUAGCUCUCUUUGCAAGUUUCAUUAUUAGAUGUUACAAGUACUAAAAUUAUCAAACAAAGUCUAUGAGUAAAACCAUAACAUGAGGAUGCUUAUUAUUCAUUUUUAUCCUUAGCUCAACUUCAACUCCUCAGUUCUUUAUGGGUAUAUUCAUUACAGGAUUCUUCAUGCUCCAAGCAUUGAGUUUCUUCACUGUGAUAGUCUCAGACCCAUUAUUGAAUACAAACAAGCGAGCCUUAUCAAAUAUAGCCAAAGUAGGAUAAACCCUAGAUGUGAUCACUGUUUUGCCUCCUGCUCCAAAGCUUGUUACCACUGAGUUAUCAAUCAAACUCCUAAGCGAAAGUUUCUUAUUUGUUAAAUCCACAUUAACAAACCCAGCAAAAGAUGGUUUAUAUAGUCCACUCCCCAAGGAAGAGCUUCUUGCAUCAGAGCAUAGGAGAACCACGUGCUUGUUUGGUGCUUUGAAAAUUCUAAAGAAAACAGGAGUAAAUUCUUCAAGUUUUCCUGAGGCUAAUGUUAAGAGCCCAAAUGGCCCUAGACCACCCUGAGCUUUGGAUCCCCUUUGGGCACAAACGUCUUGUGCAUCAAUGUUAGCCCAUUUAGGAUAAAAUGGUUCAGCUUUGUUAAGGCUUGGGAAUGAGAAGGUAACAUCAACAUCAGCCUGGGCAGCAGUGAUGCCUUUGACUUCAACGUGUUCUCCCUUUUUGAGCUUUUGAUUGCUCAAUUGAACCCUUUGCCCUCUUAAAGUUUCCAAUUCUUCAACAGGCCAUUGUACCACUUGUCUUCCACUUGGGUCUAGCCACAUCUUCCGUGGAAUGGUCUGGAUACCAGCCCAUCCUUUUUCCUUAUCAUCCUUUGCAGAAUCAGACUCAUUAGCCCAACCCCACAAAAUCCUCCUAUUCUUACUUGGGUCAAAGAAAGUCUUGGAAGCAUAAAAGUUUCCAUAAUCAAAUCUAAGUCCAGCCCACCCAUCAACAGAAGUAUUAUCAGGAAUGUAUCUAUCCUCCUCCUUAUCAUAUGUACCAACAGUGUAGUACUCAUAUCUUGUAAUGUCCAAGCUAACCUUGAAUACAUGCUUCACAUUUUGCCCAACAACUGAAGGAUCCAACCCGUAUGCGCCGGAUAAUGAAGCCGGGAAGAAAUCCGGACAUUCCCACAUGCCUGUUUUCGGAGCCGAGUGAAGAGGGUGUUUGGCCUUAACCCAUUGCUUAAAAUCCUUACUCCUAUACAUAUAUGCAAUGCCUCUAUGCUCUCUCUUACUCCCAACCAAAAUCCUCCAAUGCCCAUCAACCCACCAGGCAGUAGUUGGGUCACGGAAUGCACUGGCAUUCACACUGGUAUCUGGAUCCACAAUCGGAUUAUCAUUGGGUGUGACCCACUCGCGGAGAUAUGGAUCGGAUAAGUUUUUGGGUAUUGCAUAGUUUUGGAUCUGACGUUGUUUUUGGUCAACUCCAGUGUACAGGAUUACAGGCUUGUUUCCUGGAAGAACAGUUGCUGAACCAGACCAACAUCCAUUUAUAUCGAACCAUUUUGAUGGGUAAAUUGCAUGGUCAAGAGCUUCCCAAUUGAUCAAAUCCUUUGAUACAGAAUGAGCCCAAACUAUGUUGCCCCACACUGCACCUUUUGGGUUGUAUUGGUAGAACAAAUGGUAUAUCCCAUUGUAAUACAUUGGCCCAUUUGGAUCGUUGAUCCAGUGCUUGGGAGGCUGGAAGUGGAAGCCAGUUCUGUGGACUUGAUUGACCUUCACGGCUUGAAGAUUCUGAUACUGAGUGUAAACCUUGUGAGAUCCCAAAACGCCGCCAUUGUUACACAAGACUAAUAGAAAAGAGAAGGCUGCAAGAAACUUUAACGCAGCCAUGACCAAGAUGAAUCCACCUAGGUAUCAGAUAAGAAGAGGAUGAAAGAAAGAAGGAAACCUUAUCUUUAAUGAGAGAGAGGAGGCUAGGAAUGAAGAUUUUGCGCAGGAAAGAG